rnacentral:rRNA from 1 species
GACGGAGGGUGCAAGCGUUGUUCGGAAUUACUGGGCGUAAAGAGCGUGUAGGCGGUUUGAUAAGUCGAGUGUGAAAGCCCGAGGCUCAACUUCGGAAGUGCACUCGAAACUGUCAGGCUUGAGUACGGGAGAGGGAAGUGGAAUUCCUGGUGUAGAGGUGAAAUUCGUAGAUAUCAGGAGGAACACCGGUGGCGAAGGCGGCUUCCGGGACCGAUACUGACGCUGAGACGCGAAAGCGUGGGGAGCAAACAGG